GGAAAGGACCAUAGCUCAGCAGUAGAGGAUUUGCUUUGCACGCAGAAGGUCCUUGGUUCAGUUCCUGGCUUCUCCA